GCCCUGCUGGCCCAAUGGAUAAGGCGCCCCCUCUCAAGGCGGAGGUUCUGCGAUCGAUCCCCGGGUAGGGUA
rnacentral:tRNA from 1 species